rnacentral:rRNA from 1 species
UACGUAGGGUGCAAGCGUUUAAUCGGAAUUACUGGGCGUAAAGCGUGCGCAGGCGGUUAUGUAAGGCAGAUGUGAAAUGCCCGGGCUCAACCUGGGAACUGCAUUUGUGACUGCAUGGCUAGAGUUUGGCAGAGGGGGGUAGAAUUCCACGUGUAGCAGUGAAAUGCGUAGAUAUGUGGAGGAAUACCGAUGGCGAAGGCAGCCCCCUGGGUCAAGACUGACGCUCAUGCACGAAAGCGUGGGGAGCAAACAGG